GACGAACGCUGGCGGCGUGCUUAACACAUGCAAGUCGAACGGAAAGGCCCUGCUUUUGUGGGGUGCUCGAGUGGCGAACGGGUGAGUAACACGUGAGUAACCUGCCCUUGACUUUGGGAUAACUUCAGGAAACUGGGGCUAAUACCGGAUAGGAGCUCCUGCUGCAUGGUGGGGGUUGGAAAGUUUCGGCGGUUGGGGAUGGACUCGCGGCUUAUCAGCUUGUUGGUGGGGUAGUGGCUUACCAAGGCUUUGACGGGUAGCCGGCCUGAGAGGGUGACCGGCCACCUUGGGACUGAGAUACGGCCCAGACUCCUACGGGAGGCAGCAGUGGGGAAUAUUGCACAAUGGGCGGAAGCCUGAUGCAGCAACGCCGCGUGCGGGAUGACGGCCUUCGGGUCGUAAACCGCUUUCGCCUGUGACGAAGCGUGAGUGACGGUAAUGGGUAAAGAAGCACCGGCUAACUACGUG
rnacentral:rRNA from 1 species